GCCCUUUGAGUUCGUGUUUAUUGGGGAUGACAGCUGUACAGUUUCUGUCUCUCUUGUCUACACAUCACAGUGUCAACAUUAAGGACUGUACAAGAUCAGCUCACACUCCCUCCACACACACACACACACACACACAAAGCAAGCUUCAUUAGGAUAUACACUCUAGCAUUCACUAGUGCCUUUUUACAGACAGGUGUUUAUAGCGGUAAGGAAAAACACACACACACACACACACACACACACACACACACACACAAUGUUAAUAGAAUUUUCCUGAAUGAGAUUUCGACAUGCACAUGAGUCCUUGGAAUAAAUGCUAGUGUAACUGUGGGAAGUACUUUUUUGUAUGACCUGGUGUCCACAACACACACACACACACACACACACACACACACACACACACACACACACACUUCUAUAUGAUACAAUUGCACACACAAACACACUACCUGCACAUCAGUAUAAUGUUGUACACACACAUAUACUAUAAACACACGCAAGAGUAAAAACCCUGUGCGUGUGUGUGUGUAUUAAGAUGAAAAACAAUAUGUUUUAAAUAAUCUCUCUCUCUCUCUCACACACACACAAGCAAGAAUUAUUUGCAUACAAUAUGUAUAUUGAACUAUACGCAUGCGCAGUAUGUGUAGUGUGUAAGUUUAUGCAAGUGUUAUACAGUAUAGACAUAUAGAGACACACAGGUAGUGGAUUUGUGUGCAAGUUUCAUAACCAAAAUACCCCCCCACGCCCGACUGUCAACACAAUGCCCCCUGGUGGACAACCUCGGAUUACAGUUGAUAGCAAAAUCGAACCCGGAUAUUUACGUCACAAUUUGAUUCUGAUCACGUUAUAAAGUCAAUAUGACUCCGAAAUUCUCCACCAAAAUCAUUGUAUCAUUCUGAGAUUAUGAUUUUUAGGAAAUUUGAUGGUUGACUGAACCAAGUGCCAAUGGAAGUGGAAUCCUGGACAGUUUGGUGACAUUUCCUUUGUCAAACAAAUACUCAUUUAAAUAGCUUACAGAAACCAAUAGUUUGGAACCAGCACCAGAAAAUUAUCUGUACUGCCCUGAAAAAAAGCAAAUCACAGUAACUACAACUACAAAAAUCACUACUGACCCUUCACACCCUGAACCCUUCUGGCAGGCGCUACAGAACUUUGUUCACCAAAACACCAGGUACAUGAACAGUUUCUUUCCUCAGUCAGUCCCUCAUCAACAACUGACCUUCAUUAUAUGCCCUGCUUCAUAUCUAUAAGUACUGCAUUAUAAACAGUCACUCAUCACUUCAUCUCUAUAGGUCACACACACUAUUCCUGCUGUAUAUUGUACAAAAGUCUCUUUUUCUAAUGAGACGCACAAUACUGCUAUAUGAACUAACACACUUUCACACUUUAUGUACGUCAUAUACUCUGUAUAUCUUGUUCUUAUUGUCUCAAAUAGUCUGCAUUGUCUUGUAUAGUCUAAGCUCAAUGCAUAGUGUUAUUUAUGUCUGUACUUUUGAGAGUCACCAACAGCUGGAACCAAAGUCCUUGUGUGUGUCAACACACAUGGCCAAUAAACCAGAUUCUGAUUCUGAUCACAGUAGCCAUUAAGUACUACAUUAAAAUGUGCUACUGCCACUGUUUCAGGACCUUAAUAAACUAUAAUCAAUGGUUAUAAUGUAUCGUGUAGUUACUGUGAUUUGCCUUUAUAGGGCACUAUUUGGGGGCUCCAGACACACAGGGUCAUAUGUGUGUGUAUGUGUGUGUGUGUGUGUGUGUGUGUAUGUGCAUGUACAAGGGAAGCGUUUCGACCAUUUAAAUACGUAAUACAAAUCAACAGUGACAAACAAAUCGACCUGGUUUUCUAAAAGCAUUGCAACAAGCGAACGUUGCAGUACAAAGCAGUCUGAACAAAACAAUGUCCCGGCCCGCUCUUGUCACUCCGCCAGAAUUUGUUCGUCGUUAGUCGCAUCGCGGUAAACCGUUCCUGUUAGAUAAAUAUAUGCAUUAAAUCCGUUUCACAUCCAUUCAGAUUACAGAUUUCAGUAGAAACAUUCAACUGAAUUCUGGUUCAAACAAAAAAAAAACACAUUUGCUUUCCACAUAAAUUACAUUUUACAUUUUGUUCAUUUUUAACUCAUAAGAAAAAGAAAAAAAAAAACACGUAAUAUACAUAUAUUCAGUAAUGUGUGUACAGUUUACAAAAACAAAUCCACCUAAACUAUACAUUUAUUUACAGCUGCUAAUUUGGGGCACAUAAAUAUAAGUACAGAAAUAAAAAAUAAAAAGAUACACAAUGAAUCUAGGAAAGCACAAUCGGGACAAAUCAGGCCUCCAGGUUAUUACUGUACAUUAUAUUUUUAAAUGCAUAAUAUUGUUCGAAACUAUUACAGAGCAAAGAGGACAGGAAGGGUUGAUGAAUCUAGCGGAGAAUACAUUAGCAAAAAAUUAUGGGGGAAAAAAAAAGGACAGGACUGAAGAAGUGGUAUUUUACAAUGACGGAGAAUAAAAGGUUAAAGUUCGCUGCCUCACAUUGAUUUUGCCCGAAUGCACAGUGGUGUGGUUAAAAUCUACACUUAUUUACAAUGUAUGUAAUCAGUGUGACUAAUAGUUUAUAUGUGUAACCGGAGAAGCUGACAUCAGCACUUUCCAGUGGUGUAAAUGACUGUCCUAAUGUGAGAUUGGGUGUCAUGACUGACUCAUAACUGACUGACUUACUGGCAUGUGGUAUGGCUGUGUCAUGCGGACUGUCAUGCUAUGAGUCACGCAUAUGACUAUGAGACUGAUUUCUUAUGUUGUGUGUCCUGACUUUUCUGAUGUGGAGACCUAUUGCACCCUACCCUGUGAUAGACAAUAAUAUGCUGCAACUGACCAUCUUGUGGGGUGACUGAGUGUCCUGUAUUAUGACUGAGUGUCCUGUGGGGUGACUGAUGGUCCUGUGGGGUGACUGAGUGUCCUGUAUUAUGACUGAGUGUCCUGUGGGGUGACUGAUGGUCCUGUGGGGUGACUGCUGGUCCUGUGGGGUGACUGACCUAUGGGGUACUGAGUGUCCUGUAGGGUGACUGAGUGUAUUGUGGGGUGACUGAUGGUCCUGUGGGGUGACUGAGUGUACUGUGGGGUGACUGAGUGUCUUGUGGGGCGACUGAGUGUCCUGUGGGGUGACUGAGUGUCCUGUGGGUGACUGAGUGUCCUGUGGUGUGACUGAGUAUCCUGUAUUAUGACUGACUGUACUGUGGGGUGACUGAGUGUCCUGUGGAGUGAUUGAGUGUCCUGUGGGGUGACUGAGUUUACUGUGGUGUGACUGAUGGUCCUGUGGUGUGACUGAGUGUCCUGUUGGGUGACUGACUUGUGCUAUGACUGACUGUUCUUAGGUGUGACUGAUGGUCCUGUGGGGUGACUGAUGGUCCUGUGGGGUGACUGAGUCUCCUGUGGGGUGACUGACUUGUGCUAUGACUGACUGUACUUAGGUGUGACUGACUUUUCUGUGGUGUUACUGAUUGUUGUGUGGUGUGACUGAGUGUCCUGCGCUGUGACUGACUGCCUGGCCGAUUGUCCUGUGUUGUGAGGGACUGCCUGGCCGAUUGUCCUGUGGUGUGACUGACUGCCUGGCCGAUUGUCCUGUUGUGUGAUUGACUGUCAUGUCUCUGUAACUGACUGUACUGUGGUGUGUCUGACUGUCCAGUGUUACGACAGACUGUAGUUAGUUGUGACUGAUUGUCCAGUGGUACAGAUGACUGUCUGGCUGAUUGUCCUGUAAUGGGACUGACUAUUUUGUGCCUGUAACUCACUGUGCUGUGGUUUUAUUAACUGUCAUAUGGUGUGACAGAGUAUACUGCAUUGUGACUGUGUCCUGUGGUAUGUCUGACUAAGUGUCUUUUGGUGAGACGGAUGUCAUAUCCCAUAACAGAUUGUGUGGUAAGUGUGUGGUAAGAAUGCCUGUACUGUGGUGUGACUGAGUGUCCUGUGUUUAUGACCUUCUGUCUGACCAAGUGUCAAAUCAUUUAAAUCUUAAUAAAUCAAUGCGACUUUCUGAGAUUCUUGGGCGUGAACGUAAUUAUGUUUCCUUUAGAUUGAUCUAUUAAAGGAUCGUGAUGUAUUUCUUGAAUUUGAUUUUUUCGGGAGAAGAUUAAAUCAUCUUCAUAUAGUAAAGAGAUGACUCACAUGACAGAUGACACGAAUGUUUUGUCAGUCAGUAGUUUUUCCACCAUGACUUUUGAAAGCCAGAGGCUGUUUUUUAGCUUUCUUUUCCUUAUCAACUUUAAUUGUGAGAGAAGAACAGAGUCUGGUGAGAGAAAAAUUGUUUAUAGCUGCUAUAACGUAAAUGGUAACAGAAACUGAUCUGCCUAUUGGCAUUUCCACAAUAUUUAAUAAAUAAAAAAGUAUGGUUAAUUGUUAGCAUUGACUUGUGUGGUAGAAGUUUCCUCAGGACUUCAGUGUAAUAACAGUAACUCCAUCACACCACCGUGUCAUUGACUAGUUCACUCAUCUGUGAUAUUAUCAUUCGGAGAACAUUUCAAGCAUAGGACCCUUUGCUGUAUAUAUAGAUGGCAUGCAAUUUUCCAAAAAUAUAGAACAAACAUUUAAAUACUAGUUCUUGUUAAGGCAACAAAUAUGAAUUAGGCAAAAUGUUCUGUUUGGUAAGUUCUUCUGACGAAUGUAUAUAGAACAACUUUAUCUGACAUGCAUUAUGUCUCUCUAGUUGACUUCCUCGCGUAAUGUGGUGCAACAUAAACAGCUGGCAAAUUGAAAAGCAAAAAAAAAAACCGCUGUUUUGGCGGAUGAGUUUGCUGAGCACUCAGGAAGCGUCGAAUAAAUAACGUUUAUAACGGCUUCGAGCGAAGGCAGAGGAGCAGAAAUGGCCUGAGUCAGCUACUGCUUGUCGUAGGAAAAGAUGAGCAAAUUCGCUGACACGGGCAAAAAAAGGAAAGAAGGAAGGAGGAACGGACUAAAGAAAGCAGAAGUGGAGAAAGUGCUAUUAGAGGAAGGCACUCUAUAUUUUCCACAGAAAACAACAGACAAGAAAUGAAAUUCCAGUGAAUGUGACAGCAGGUGUUUUUUUGUUUUGUCUUUUUCCUAUUAACCAGUCCAGGCAUCGAGAUUGGCAGACAGGAAUCUAGGACAUGAGCUAAUCUCCCCCCCCUAAGACGAGCCACAAUCUCAAUCUCAA